UACGUAGGGCGCAAGCGUUGUCCGGAAUUACUGGGCGUAAAGCGUGCGCAGGCGGUUUUGUAAGUCUGUUGUGAAAUCCCCGGGCUUAACCUGGGAAUGGCAAUGGAGACUGCAAGGCUAGAGUUUGGCAGAGGGGGGUAGAAUUCCACGUGUAGCAGUGAAAUGCGUAGAGAUGUGGAGGAACACCGAUGGCGAAGGCAGCCCCCUGGGUCAAGACUGACGCUCAUGCACGAAAGCGUGGGGAGCAAACAGG
rnacentral:rRNA from 1 species